UGGGGAAUUUUGGACAAUGGGCGCAAGCCUGAUCCAGCCAUGCCGCGUGUGUGAAGAAGGCCUUCGGGUUGUAAAGCACUUUCGGACGGAACGAAAUCGCGCGGGUUAACAGCCUGUGUGGAUGACGGUACCGUAAGAAGAAGCACCGGCUAACUACGUGCCAGCAGCCGCGGUAAUACGUAGGUGGCAAGCGUUGUCCGGAUUUAUUGGGUUUAAAGGGUGCGUAGGCGGCUUUGUAAGUCAGUGGUGAAAUAUGGCAGCUCAACUGUCAGGGUGCCAUUGAUACUGCGGAGCUUGAGUACAGAUGAAGUAGGCGGAAUUGACGGUGUAGCGGUGAAAUGCUUAGAUAUCGUCAAGAACACCGAUAGCGAAGGCAGCUUACUAGGCUGUAACUGACGCUGAGGCACGAAAGUGUGGGGAUCAAACAGGAUUAGAUACCCUGGUAGUCCACACUGUAAACGUUGAUGACUCGCUGUUGGCGA
rnacentral:rRNA from 1 species